AUGCAGUCGAGCGAAUGGAUUGAGAGCUUGCUCUCAUGAAGUUAGCGGCGGACGGGUGAGUAACACGUGGGUAACCUGCCCAUAAGACUGGGAUAACUCCGGGAAACCGGGGCUAAUACCGGAUAACAUUUUGAACUGCAUGGUUCGAAAUUGAAAGGCGGCUUCGGCUGUCACUUAUGGAUGGACCCGCGUCGCAUUAGCUAGUUGGUGAGGUAACGGCUCACCAAGGCAACGAUGCGUAGCCGACCUGAGAGGGUGAUCGGCCACACUGGGACUGAGACACGGCCCAGACUCCUACGGGAGGCAGCAGUAGGGAAUCUUCCGCAAUGGACGAAAGUCUGACGGAGCAACGCCGCGUGAGUGAUGAAGGCUUUCGGGUCGUAAAACUCUGUUGUUAGGGAAGAACAAGUGCUAGUUGAAUAAGCUGGCACCUUGACGGUACCUAACCAGAAAGCCACGGCUAACUACGUGCCAGCAGCCGCGGUAAUACGUAGGUGGCAAGCGUUAUCCGGAAUUAUUGGGCGUAAAGCGCGCGCAGGUGGUUUCUUAAGUCUGAUGUGAAAGCCCACGGCUCAACCGUGGAGGGUCAUUGGAAACUGGGAGACUUGAGUGCAGAAGAGGAAAAGUGGAAUUCCAUGUGUAGCGGUGAAAAUGCG
rnacentral:rRNA from 1 species